UACGUAGGCAGCAAGCGUUGUUCGGAUUUACUGGGCGUAAAGGGUGUGUAGGCGGUUCUUUAAGUUUGGUGUGAAAUCUCCCGGCUCAACUGGGAGGGUGCGCCGAAUACUGAGGGACUAGAGUACGGGAGAGGAAAGUGGAAUUCCUGGUGUAGCGGUGAAAUGCGUAGAGAUCAGGAAGAACAUCGGUGGCGAAGGCGCUCUGCUGGACCAUAACUGACACUCAGGGACGAAAGCUAGGGGAGCGAAUGGG
rnacentral:rRNA from 1 species